rnacentral:rRNA from 1 species
GAUGAACGCUGGCGGCGUGCCUAAUACAUGCAAGUCGAGCGAAUGGAUUAAGAGCUUGCUCUUAUGAAGUUAGCGGCGGACGGGUGAGUAACACGUGGGCAACCUGCCCAUAAGACUGGGAUAACUCCGGGAAACCGGGGCUAAUACCGGAUAACAUUUUGAACCGCAUGGUUCGAAAUUGAAAGGCGGCUUCGGCUGUCACUUAUGGAUGGACCCGCGUCGCAUUAGCUAGUUGGUGAGGUAACGGCUCACCAAGGCAACGAUGCGUAGCCGGCCUGGAAGGGUGAUCGGCCACACUGGGACUGAGACACGGCCCAGACUCCUACGGGAGGCAGCAGUAGGGAAUCUUCCGCAAUGGACGAAAGUCUGACGGAGCAACGCCGCGUGAGUGAUGAAGGCUUUCGGGUCGUAAAACUCUGUUGUUAGGGAAGAACAAGUGCUAGUUGAAUAAGCUGGCACCUUGACGGUACCUAACCAGAAAGCCACGGCUAACUACGUGCCAGCCGCCGCCGUAA